rnacentral:rRNA from 1 species
UGGGCGUAAAGCGCGCGUAGGCGGUUUGAUAAGCUGGAUGUGAAAGCCCCGGGCUCAACCUGGGAACUGCAUCCAGAACUGUCUGACUAGAAUACAAUAGAGGUGAGUGGAAUUUCCUGUGUAGCGGUGAAAUGCGUAGAUAUAGGAAGGAACAUCAGUGGCGAAGGCGACUCACUGGAUUGAUAUUGACGCUAAGGUGCGAAAGCGUGGGGAGCGAACAGGAUUAGAUACCCUGGUAGUCCACGCCGUAAACGAUGUCUACUAGCCGUUGGGAUCCUUGAGGUCUUAGUGGCGCAGCUAACGCAAUAAGUAGACCGCCUGGGGAGUACGGCCGCAAGGUUAAAACUCAAAUGAAUUGACGGGGGCCCGCACAAGCGGUGGAGCAUGUGGUUUAAUUCGAUGCAACGCGAAGAACCUUACCAGGUCUUGACAUCCCGAGAAGUCGCUAGAGAUAGCUUCGUGCCUUCGGGAACUCGGUGACAGGUGCUGCAUGGCU